GAUGAACGCUGGCGGCGUGCCUAAUACAUGCAAGUCGAGCGAACGGACGAGAAGCUUGCUUCUCUGAUGUUAGCGGCGGACGGGUGAGUAACACGUGGAUAACCUACCUAUAAGACUGGGAUAACUUUGGGAAACCGGAGCUAAUACCGGAUAAUAUUUUGAACCGCAUGGUUCAAAAGUGAAAGACGGUCUUGCUGUCACUUAUAGAUGGAUCCGCGCUGCAUUAGCUAGUUGGUAAGGUAACGGCUUACCAAGGCAACGAUGCAUAGCCGACCUGAGAGGGUGAUCGGCCACACUGGAACUGAGACACGGUCCAGACUCCUACGGGAGGCAGCAGUAGGGAAUCUUCCGCAAUGGGCGAAAGCCUGACGGAGCAGCGCCGCGUGAGUGAUGAAGGUCUUCGGAUCGUAAAACUCUGUUAUUAGGGAAGAACAUAUGUGUAAGUAACUGUGCACAUCUUGACGGUACCUAAUCAGAAAGCCACGGCUAACUACGUG
rnacentral:rRNA from 1 species